rnacentral:rRNA from 1 species
UAUGGCCAUGUCACGUUGAAACCCCAGUUCCGUAUGAUCACCGAAGUUAAGCAACGUCGAGCGUGGUCAGCAUCUAGAUGGGUGACUGCUUGUGAACACCAAGUUCUGUAAG